UCAAUUUGCAUUUCGCCCAGUGUUGAAAGGAUUUAGCAGAUAUUUCGUGAAAUCUGAGGAAAUUAUGGGACCAAAAACCGGUCCAAUGUUAUUUAUUUAUUUUGUCUUGUGUAUCAAGACUGGAUUUUCUUACAUGGAGAUUGUGUUUGUUUGAGGACGAGGCAGUGACAGGGCCUCCUCAUGUGCAGAAGACAGAAAACAAGUCAUCUUUUGUUAGUGAGCCAUUUUUGUUGAAAGGUUUACGGUAUAUAAAGAGAUUAGAGACGUAUAGGUUUAUCUGAUAAUUAAAUCUAGAACGCAGUCUACCUUACUACUUCGUAACUACACGCGAAUCAGUACCUUUUUUACAAUAUUGAGUACGAAAUUCGCAAAGCUGCUAUUUUGACCGGUAAUUAAGUUGCGCCAUCAAUGACUCGUUCAGAAUUAUUUUGAGGGAUAUUUUGAAAAUCAGUGUGCAAGAACGCACAAAAUUUUGCGUCAAGGAAAAACCCUGCUUUGGUCAGAAGUGCAAAAAAGAAAAACUACAGGCUGUAUUUCUAGUAACUAGGUAACCUCUCUAUGUCUUUGGUAACCUGUGGUAACUUUCAGUAACACCUGGUCACUUUGGUCAGAAGUGCAAAAAGGAAAACUGAAACUGUUUUUGGGCCAUAAUAUGGAAUCAAACAUGCCACAAAAAUUCCCCUUUCAGCUCAUUUGAGUCAAACUUUUCCCCCAGCUGAAGGCACUGACCCCCUUCAACCAAAAGUGGGGAAAAAAACCUGAAGGAAUUUUUUCCGAGACUUUUUUUUACCUCUUAUGGCCCUUUGAUAGUUUUUGCAGUAUAGAGGAUGGCACAGUAUGUGGGGACAUCUGUGUCCUAUGAGCACAAUGUCUAGUUCAAAAAUUAAGGUUUCACUUUCAUUUGUGAUUUCUCAUAAAAAGAUGUUGUUUUUUGUUCCCAUUUACAAUGUAGAAGUUAAACAUGACAAGAUUAGGGUGUUUCCCUAUGAUCAUGAUGAUGUGACUUGAAUGUAAGACAACAAAUACCUUGAGGCUUAACACAACAUUGACUGUGUACUUGAUGUUAUGUGGUAUAAUGUGCAUGUAUAAUGUGCAUGUAUAAGUUAUAAAAGUGUAUAAUGAUAAAGCAUCUUAUUUUUCAUUACAAUUAAUUUAAAAACAUACAAAACAAAAGUGUACACAUGAGAUACAUUAACACUUUGCUUUCUAAUGUAGGCAUAGGAAAUAGAGAUCAAUAUAAUUGUGCCUUUACUAAUCCUACCUGUUCUGUAUUACACAAGUGCUUCUGUUGUGACAUUUUUAUUAGGGCUGGGUACCGCCUUGAAAAAAAUACCGCGGUAUACCACGGUUUUUUCUUAAUUACCACGGUAUACCACCAUUUUUAUCCUAAGACUUACAGCUAUGGUAGUGGUCAUAAAAAUAUUGAAAAACUCUCGGAAAGACUUAAUUUAUUAUGAGCAACAACGAAGACUAGUUAUUUGACUAGAAUUAAAGAAAAAAAUACACUGGAAUAAUAACUUGACUAAUGACUAGUUAGAUUAAUGACCCUUAGUAUUUUUUACCAACAUGUAUUCGUCGGAAGACGCCAUAUUGUCUCUAGGGAAGCACUAGGUCACAUGUAUAUAGGUCGCGCUUGUUUGAAAUUCGAUUCGUGCACCCGUUUGAUAAACCAGUAAUGUUUACAAAUAGUAUGAAGGCUUCAUCAAAUUGUUUUCAAACAAAAAGUAAUAAAUUUCGACUCGACUUUUUCCAUACUAUUUGUUUCUUUUUGAAUACAUGCAAAUACAUACUGGGAUAUUUUAAACUAUCAUCAUUUAAACAAGAAGUCGGGACUCACCGAAUUUACCAGACUCAAAGUAA